AGAGUUUGAUCCUGGCUCAGAUUGAACGCUGGCGGCAUGCCUUACACAUGCAAGUCGAACGGCAGCACGGGAGCAAUCCUGGUGGCGAGUGGCGAACGGGUGAGUAAUACAUCGGAACGUGCCCAGNUUGUGGGGGAUAGCCCGGCGAAAGCCGGAUUAAUACCGCAUACGACCUACGGGUGAAAGCGGGGGAUCGCAAGACCUCGCGCAAUUGGAGCGGCCGAUGUCAGAUUAGCUAGUUGGUGGGGUAAAGGCCUACCAAGGCGACGAUCUGUAGCUGGUCUGAGAGGACGACCAGCCACACUGGGACUGAGACACGGCCCAGACUCCUACGGGAGGCAGCAGUGGGGAAUUUUGGACAAUGGGCGCAAGCCUGAUCCAGCCAUGCCGCGUGCGGGAAGAAGGCCUUCGGGUUGUAAACCGCUUUUGUCAGGGGAAGAAACGGUCUGGUCUAAUAAACCGGACUAAUGACGGUACCUGAAGAAUAAGCACCGGCUAACUACGUGCCAGCAGCCGCGGUAAUACGUAGGGUGCAAGCGUUAAUCGGAAUUACUGGGCGUAAAGCGUGCGCAGGCGGCUUUGCAAGACAGAUGUGAAAUCCCCGGGCUUAACCUGGGAACUGCAUUUGUGACUGCAAGGCUAGAGUACGGUAGAGGGGGAUGGAAUUCCGCGUGUAGCAGUGAAAUGCGUAGAUAUGCGGAGGAACACCGAUGGCGA
rnacentral:rRNA from 1 species